UUCCACUUUCUUUUACUUUUCUGUAUUGGUUGAACUUACUCUAUAGUACAUAUUACUUUGAUGAUCAAAAUCUGGUAGCUAGAUCAUUUUUUUUUAAGUUUAUUUAUUUUUGGGAGAGAGAGAGAGACAGAGCGAGUGAGUAGGGGAGGGGCAGAGAGAGAGAGAGACAGCGAAUCCCUAGCAAGCUCCACACGGUCAUCACAGAGCCCGAUGUGGGGCUCGAACCCACGAAAGGCGAGAUCAUGGCCUGAGCUGAAACCACGAGUUAGAUGCUUAACCGGCUGAGCCACCCAGGCGCCCUAGAUCAUUUUAAAUUAGUCAUUUUUCUUUCUUCCUUUCCUGGUUUUCUUUCUUUCUUUUUUUUUUUUUGGCUUCGAGUCAGAUCAACGUUCUGUAAGGGCUAGUCUCCCAGUGCCCUAAGACACAGAACUGAUGAACAGAACCUUAUCUAACUCAAUUCCAAAUAUCUGGAACUGUUUCACUCAGGCCACCCUUGGAGAGGAACCGAAGAUAAGAAAACAGUUUGGAGAAUCUGUGAUGUCUGCCGAAGACCCAUGGUUCUGAGACAGUCACCUUGCACAUGUCCGUGGCUCAGGAACCCCACAGCCACAGGCCAAUGGCCAACGUGGGGUCCUGGAGGCCAUGAUCAAGAAACAACAACAACAACAACACCAAAACAUUCACUAAAUAUCAAGGCAGGAAACACAAGGAGGAAACACCUAAAGAACAAUUUUGAAAAACCAUUCAAAACUGGAAGGGGUUGCUGUGCAAGAUGUCAAUUCUGGAGAGCGUGGCCGGAUCCUUAGACACUGCCUUCCACCGACUAGGGAUGUGUGCACACGGAUGCCCACUCCUCUCUUCUGAGACUCUCCUUCUCCGAAAGCCUCUGGCCACGUUUGCAGAAGACUCUGCAGCAGGGGUGAAUUUCCAAAGCAGUUUUUUUUUUUUUUUCUGGUUAGCCUUCAAUUAACCAGAAAAUCAAAUUAAUUGUGCAUGAAGUUCUAGUUCCAGGAUGCAGGCUGACCCAUGGAAUAUGCAAAUCUGGGUAAAAAUAAGUCAUGUUCAAGUGGGGGCUCUCUUGUGUUUGUUUUAGAGCGGGGAAGAAUGGAAAAACAAGACAGUGAGGGCCCAGGGCCAAAGAAAAUGCUAUAUUUAGACGCGAAGGGCUUUGUUUGGCCCCGAUACCAGUGUAGACACAGCCAGUCAGGAACAAGGGGGCCAUUCAAUCAAUCCACCUGACACGCUACUGUCGCCGGCCUGUGCGUUCCACGGGCACCGAGCUCAGAACCAUCCUGAAAGGGGCUGUCGGCUGGGAGGCGGUAACAGCUGGUCCGUGGCAAUUAACCGGCAGUUUCUAUUGCUGAAGGAGAUUAUUUUGGAUGGUGUAAAGAGAUUCAAAUAAAAAUGUCAACGUGCCCAUUAUGGAUGAAAGUUAGAAAAACUUAAGUGGCCCCGAAUUAAUCACUACAUGACAGCGAGGAACGUAAAUGAGUACCGAAAAUCCUCCGCAAAUCUAUUUUCUUGCCUUUUUGGUAACCGUAAAGAAGCUUGCUGGGGGGUGUGGGGAGGGCAUUUCUCGGCUACAACCUUAAUUCAGCUCGGAGUGAAGAUUUAACGACAAAGUUACAAGCCCUUCAAGUAGCAUUUAUUGAGGGGCUAAUGAGCGUCCCUAAGAACUCUGUGGAAAAAAGAAAAAAAAAAAUAGAGGCAGCCACCAAACAUAAGAGGCCUUGGAAAAUACCGAAGAGAGGGGAGUUCAUUAGGCUUUUUUUUUUUUUUUUUCUUCCCCGUUCUCAACAAUGAAGAUUUCUGCUGCCAAACCUUUCAGGAGUAGGGUUGGUUUCCUUUCAAGUAAUUGAUGCGGAGUUUGCUUCUGCACGGGGUCCAGACAAGCUCUCUCCAACGAGAAGCAGGAAAUCACACCGUCAAAGGGAAACUGUGCAUUCCUUCCUCCCUGGCUGGGUCGGCCCUCACAAACCCUGGAUCUAUGCUGCCUUGCCAAACCGCCUCCAAUUUCCAUGCCCUCCCACGGCUAAGAUAACGGAUGCUGCCUUCGGCCUCUGCGAGCGGCACUUACUUAAAACUCCAGCUACGCGGUAACAAAAAAGGCUGCUGUCACCCCAAAUCGAGCAAAUGAGCUCCUGUCCUACAGCAUAAAAGCGCUGACUAGCUGUGCGACCCUGGACGGGCUGAUCCACCUGUCUCUACUUCAGUUUCCCUGGCGAAUGGGGUCAGCAAUCGAUCUUCCUCACCGAUGGGCAAGUACUACCGUGUUCGGCCUAAUGUGAACGCGCACUCGGCACCCAACACAUUUUCGCCGUUGGAUAUUCGAAGGUGAUUCGAGACGAGAAGAAGAGAAGGUCCCCUAGUUAGAAGCGUAGGACAGAGGGACUGUAACACCCGUUGGCCUUGCAGACAGUCCGGCCCGCUGCACGUUUGGGACGGAAAUCCGGUGGAGACGGCUCAGAGGAGAAAGAUGCCCACUGAAAUGCUUAGGCUCCUCGUCUCCCAGAAACCAUUAAGGCGUCUCAUUUGCAGUUUGUCUACAAUCUUUUGGGCUCAUUGAAGCUUCCAGGUAGUGUCAUCUGUGAACGCUAAUAAAUCCCGUAUGUUUGUUUUCCUACCUUUUGGUCUUUUUUGAAACUUUGUGAUAAAGUAUAUUAUUUAUACA